rnacentral:rRNA from 1 species
AUUCUUGGUCAUUUAGAGGAAGUAAAAGUCGUAACAAGGUUUCCGUAGGUGAACCUGCGGAAGGAUCAUUAUUGGAUUAAAAAACUCAGGCUGCUGCUGGCCCUCUCUCCUUGGGGAGAGGGCAUGUGCACGCUUGUUGUUCCUUACUUCUCCAACUGUGCACAAAUUGUAGAUCUCAUUGCGAGGUCUAUGUUGUUUUUCACAAUCUCUGAAUGUAAUAGAAUGGUUUGAAUCUGGGGAAAAAAUACAUACAACUUUCAGCAACGGAUCUCUUGGCUCUCGCAUCGAUGAAGAACGCAGCGAAAUGCGAUAAGUAAUGUGAAUUGCAGAAUUCAGUGAAUCAUCGAAUCUUUGAACGCAUCUUGCGCUCCUUGGUAUUCCGAGGAGCAUGCCUGUUUGAGUGUCAUUUAAACCUUCUCAACUGCUCCAAAUUUUAUUUUUUGGAUGUGGCUUGGAAAUGGGGGAUAUUGUGCAGGCUUUCUUUUGAAUGUCUGCUCCCCUGAAAUGUAUUAGUGGCUUCUAAGCAGACUACCACAGGUGUGAUAACUAUCAAUGCCUUGGUAUGCUUUUGCUGCUUCUAACAACCCAAUUGACCAACUUGACCUCAAAUCAGGUAGGAUUACCCGCUGAACUUAAGCAUAUCAAUAAGCGGAGGAAA